rnacentral:rRNA from 1 species
UACGUAGGGUCCGAGCGUUGUCCGGAAUUACUGGGCGUAAAGAGCUCGUAGGUGGUUUGUCGCGUUGUUCGUGAAAACUCACAGCUCAACUGUGGGCGUGCGGGCGAUACGGGCAGACUAGAGUACUGCAGGGGAGACUGGAAUUCCUGGUGUAGCGGUGGAAUGCGCAGAUAUCAGGAGGAACACCGGUGGCGAAGGCGGGUCACUGGCUCGUAUCUGACGCUCAGGCGCGACAGCGUGGGGAUCAAACAGG